rnacentral:rRNA from 1 species
GGACUACACGGGUAUCUAAUCCCAUUCGCUACCCACGCUUUCGUGUUUCAGUGUCAGGAGUGGCCCAAUGUACUGCCUUCGCUUUCGGUGUUCCCCAUGAUAUCAACGGAUUUCACCCCUACUCCAUGAGUUCCAUACAUCCCUGCCAUCCUCUAGUCAUGCCGUUUCGAUUGCAGAUCUGGGGUUAAGCCCCAGGUUUUAACGAUCGACUAACACAACCACCUACACACCCUUUACGCCCAAUAAUUCCGGAUAACGCUCGGGGCACUCGUAUUACCGCGGCUGCUGGCAC